CCUACGGGCGGCAGCAGUGAGGAAUAUUGGUCAAUGGACGAGAGUCUGAACCAGCCAAGUAGCGUGAAGGAUGACUGCCCUAUGGGUUGUAAACUUCUUUUAUAUGGGAAUAAAAUGUUCCACGUGUGGGAUUUUGUAUGUACCAUAUGAAUAAGGAUCGGCUAACUCCGUGCCAGCAGCCGCGGUAAUACGGAGGAUCCGAGCGUUAUCCAGAUUUAUUGGGUUUAAAGGGAGCGUAGGUGGAUUGUUAAGUCAGUUGUGAAAGUUUGCGGCUCAACCGUAAAAUUGCAGUUGAAACUGGCAGUCUUGAGUACAGUAGAGGUGGGCGGAAUUCGUGGUGUAGCGGUGAAAUGCUUAGAUAUCACGAAGAACUCCGAUUGCGAAGGCAGUUCACUGGACUGCAACUGACACUGAGGCUCGAAAGUGUGGGUAUCAAACAGGAUUAGAUACCCGGGUAGUC
rnacentral:rRNA from 1 species